GAAUUCGAUUAGAGUUUGAUCAUGGCUCAGAACGUACGCUGGCGGCACGCCUAACACAUGCAAGUCGAACGAAGUAGCAAUACUUAGUGGCAGACGGGUGAGUAACAUGUAGGUAUCUGCCCUUUGGCCUGGAAUAACACGAGGAAACUUGUGCUAAUACUGGAUAAGUCUUUACGGAGAAAGCUUUAUGCACCAUUGGAUGAGCCUGCACUUGAUUAGUUUGUUGGUGGGGUAAUGGCCUACCAAGACUGUGAUCAAUAGCUGAUUUGAGAGGAUGAUCAGCCACAUUGGGACUGAGACACGGCCCAAACUCCUACGGGAGGCAGCAGUGGGGAAUCUUGCACAAUGGAGGAAACUCUGAUGCAGCGAUGCCGCGUGAGUGAAGAAGGCCUUUGGGUUGUAAAGCUCUUUCGUCGGGGAAGAAAAUGACUGUACCCGAAUAAGAAGGUCCGGCUAACUUCGUGCCAGCAGCCGCGGUAAUACGAAGGGACCUAGCGUAGUUCGGAAUUACUGGGCUUAAAGAGUUCGUAGGUGGUUGAAAAAGUUGGUGGUGAAAUCCCAGAGCUUAACUCUGGAACUGCCAUCAAAACUUUUCAGCUAGAGUAUGAUAGAGGAAAGCAGAAUUUCUAGUGUAGAGGUGAAAUUCGUAGAUAUUAGAAAGAAUACCAAUUGCGAAGGCAGCUUUCUGGAUCAUUACUGACACUGAGGAACGAAAGCAUGGGUAGCGAAGAGGAUUAGAUACCCUCGUAGUCCAUGCCGUAAACGAUGUGUGUUAGACGUUGGAAAUUUAUUUUCAGUGUCGCAGCGAAAGCAAUAAACACACCGCCUGGGGAGUACGACCGCAAGGUUAAAACUCAAAUGAAUUGACGGGGACCCGCACAAGUAGUGGAGCAUGUGGUUUAAUUCGAAGAUACGCGCAGAACCUUACCAACACUUGACAUGUUCGUCGCGACUUUAAGAGAUUAAAGUUUUCGGUUCGGCCGGACGAAACACAGGUGCUGCAUGGCUGUCGUCAGCUCGUGUCGUGAGAUGUUGGGUUAAGUCCCGCAACGAGCGCAACCCUCACUUUUAGUUGCCAUCAUUAAGUUGGGCACUCUGAAAGAACUGCCAGUGAUAAGCUGGAGGAAGGUGGGGAUGACGUCAAGUCCUCAUGGCCCUUACGUGUUGGGCUACACACGUGCUACAAUGGUAUCUACAACAGGAAGCGAAACGGCGACGUUAAGCAAAUCCUUAAAAGAUACCUCAGUUCGGAUUGCACUCUGCAACUCGAGUGCAUGAAGCUGGAAUUACUAGUAAUCGUGGAUCAGCGUGCCACGGUGAAUGCGUUCCGCGGGUCUUGUACACACCGCCCGUAA
rnacentral:rRNA from 1 species